UACAGAGGGUGCAAGCGUUAAUCGGAAUUACUGGGCGUAAAGCGUGCGUAGGCGGUCGUGUAAGUCGGGUGUGAAAGCCCCGGGCUCAACCUGGGAAUUGCAUUCGAGACUGCACGGCUUGAGUGCGGAAGAGGGAAGCGGAAUUUCCGGUGUAGCGGUGAAAUGCGUAGAUAUCGGGAGGAACAUCAGUGGCGAAAGCGGCUUUCUGGACCUGCACUGACGCUCAGGAGCGAAAGCGUGGGGAGCAAACAGG
rnacentral:rRNA from 1 species